AGUGAACGCUGGCGGUAGGCCUAACACAUGCAAGUCGAACGGCAGCACAGUAAGAGCUUGCUCUUACGGGUGGCGAGUGGCGGACGGGUGAGGAAUACAUCGGAAUCUACUUUUUCGUGGGGGAUAACGUAGGGAAACUUACGCUAAUACCGCAUACGACCUACGGGUGAAAGCAGGGGAUCUUCGGACCUUGCGCGAUUGAAUGAGCCGAUGUCGGAUUAGCUAGUUGGCGGGGUAAAGGCCCACCAAGGCGACGAUCCGUAGCUGGUCUGAGAGGAUGAUCAGCCACACUGAAACUGAGACACGGUCCAGACUCCUACGGGAGGCAGCAGUGGGGAAUAUUGGACAAUGGGCGCAAGCCUGAUCCAGCCAUACCGCGUGGGUGAAGAAGGCCUUCGGGUUGUAAAGCCCUUUUGUUGGGAAAGAAAAGCAGCAGGUUAAUACCCCGCUGUUCUGACGGUACCCAAAGAAUAAGCACCGGCUAACUUCGUG
rnacentral:rRNA from 1 species